rnacentral:rRNA from 1 species
UACGGAGGGUGCGAGCGUUAAUCGGAAUAACUGGGCGUAAAGGGCACGCAGGCGGGUUGUUAAGUGAGAUGUGAAAUCCCCGGGCUUAACCUGGGAAUAGCAUUUGAGACUGGGAGGCUAGAGUACCUUAGAGAGGGGUAGAAUUCCACGUGUAGCGGUGAAAUGCGUAGAGAUGUGGAGGAAUACCGAAGGCGAAGGCAGCCCCUUGGACAUGUACUGACGCUCAUGUGCGAAAGCGUGGGGAGCAAACAGG